UUUAAACGAAGGGAAUUACAUACAGGCUAUUUGUCGGCUUCUUGAGCCGUGUGUUACCAAUGAGCUCAUCGGUUUAAAUUAUGUUUUUAUAUUUUUUAUUUGCUCUCAUAUCGCUUACAACUGCCAGGGUAGCAACUGAAAUAAUAGGCUAAAGCAACGACAGUUUAUGGAAAACACAAGUGUAAUUAUGUUCAGAUCUUGUGCCUGACUGA